GACGAACGCUGGCGGCGUGCCUAAUACAUGCAAGUUGAGCGCUGAAGGUUGGUACUUGUACCAACUGGAUGAGCAGCGAACGGGUAAGUAACGCGUGGGGAAUCUGCCUUUGAGCGGGGGACAACAUUUGGAAACGAAUGCUAAUACCGCAUAAAAACUUUAAACACAAGUUUUAAGUUUGAAAGAUGCAAUUGCAUCACUCAAAGAUGAUCCCGCGUUGUAUUAGCUAGUUGGUGAGGUAAAGGCUCACCAAGGCGAUGAUACAUAGCCGACCUGAGAGGGUGAUCGGCCACAUUGGGACUGAGACACGGCCCAAACUCCUACGGGAGGCAGCAGUAGGGAAUCUUCGGCAAUGGACGAAAGUCUGACCGAGCAACGCCGCGUGAGUGAAGAAGGGUUUCGGAUCGUAAAACUCUGUUGGUAGAGAAGAACGUUGGUGAGAGUGGAAAGCUCAUCAAGUGACGGUAACUACCCAGAAAGGGACGGCUAACUACGUG
rnacentral:rRNA from 1 species